rnacentral:lncRNA from 1 species
UGCCAUCAUUGAGAGCACAGUGAGAGAUGUGGAGUUUCUUGAUAGAUUCCAGAGAGUUUCACCCUCAGAAUCAUAUUUAUUUCUCAACAAAAAGACUGACAAUGAGAGUAAAGUGCUCAUCCUGAAGAUGGACAACUCUAAAGAGAGAAAGAUAGACAUCAUCAAAUCCCUGCAGGCUUCAACGAUACGAUGCUGCAGUGAUAAAGUUCGUCCAGUGCUCGUCGCCAGCACCGUUAUUCCCUCAGUGAACGAUGUUAUUUGGGCAGGUGUGUUCAGUUCACAGAAUCAGGAGGAUCCGGAGAACAGCGCGCUGGCUCUGUACGACAUCAGUAAUGUUCGAGGCCAGGUCAAGGGUUUCUGCGCUUACGGUGAAAAGUUAUGUGGUUCUGAGAGUGGUGGUGAACUUCAGCCGCUCUCUGUGGUGUUCAGGUACAGCUCAAUGUCAGCAGUGGCAGCAACGAGGAUUGAAUCCUGGAUUGUGCUGUUCAUAGGAACCAGUGAUGGACAACUCAUAAAGGUCUCCUUCAUCUGUCUGUCAAACAUGAAGUCUCAAUGAUUUUUUGUUUCUAAAUUACGGCACAUUAUUUCCAUUUCCACAUAAAGCUCUAUGUUUGGCUCUGCAUUUAAACAUCUGUUCUGUUUGUUUCUUUAGUUAGUGUUGGAUGAGAAAUUCAGACCAGGCUGUCCAACAGUGCUGUUCAAAUCUGAUGAUGAACAAGCAUGGUUUCCCAGAAUGCACUUUGAUCCAGUAGAUUUCAAACAUAUCUACUUAGUGCUGAAGAAACAGGUGAGGUUUAAAAAGGUCAUUAACCUGAUAAAUGUCACCCCGUCCCGUAUACGGGACGCCUACGUUGACUAUACUAUAUUACAAUCAAAUCUAAUCUAAUCUUGACAAACUAUAUAUCGUUGGAAAGGUCAUUGUUUCCUUUUUCUCUAUCACAUUUUAGAAAUCAUCAGAAGUUAUAUAUCACUUGAAAACAUAAAAUCUCAAAACCAUUUUAAAAUCAGACAUUGCAUUACCAUGUAAAUGGCACAUCAAAAUCAUGUUACAAAAUGUUUUCUGUCAUGAAUUAUAAAAAUUUAGGUUUGUAUCAUGCACAUUCAUGUCUAUCUUCAAAAACGUGAGUUACAGUUAACAGGUUAAAAAGUGAUACUCAAUUUUAUAAACAAUUUAGCCAUGGGCAUAAAAUAGCUAUGCUGGGGAUGCAGAGGACAUGUCUGGCUGUUUAUUAGUACUUAUAAAGCACAUAUUAGUGCCUUACAUGAUGUUAUUCUAGAUCCCUUAACCCCACCCCAUAACUAGACAUAACAACCACAAACAACUGCCUUACUAUCAAUAAGCAGCAAAUUGAGAGAAAACUGUUGAAGGAUCUUACUGAGGAAAAACUCUUAGUUUAUAAUGUUCAUAACUAAGUUUAUAUCUUUCAUUUUUCU